UCAAAAUCAUGGUCUGGGAAAGGCUUCUAGGGUUGGAGGGUGGGGCAAGACAGGUGGGAAAAGCUAUUGCCUGAUGAGCAGCAGGAAGUCUCUCUCCCCUGUGUUCAAGAAGUUCCCUCAACCCUCCAGAGCCGACUUGGAGAAGGUGUUAGGUGCAUGCAGGGGAACGAGAGGAGAGGAAAGUCACAUUGUGCAAGUGGAACCCCUUCUGCACGUUCGAGAUUCUGGUCCCUCAGUGUAGAGUAGCGGGUGUGAGGGGGCUUCAUGAAGGAGAUCAUUUCCAAAUCUCAAAAGAAA